GUGAUGUGUGUGUAUGUGAUGGGUAUGUGGUGUAUGUGAUGCAUGUGUGUGGUGUGUGUCAUAUGUAACAUGUGUGGCAUAUGUGAUGCAUGUAUAUGUCAUGUGUGUGGUAUGUGUUGGGGGUUUGUGGUGUGUGACAUAUGUAAGGUAUGGAUGUGAUGUGUGUGUAUGUGAUGGGUGUGUAGUACAUGUGUGUGGUGAGGGGGUGGCUACUCACACUCAGAAGCUCUCCACUGUCCCCUUCCUAAGGAAGGCUAUAUACCAGUUGCCCAGGGCAACUCCCUGGGUAUCCUGCCAGCCCACACCCUCCCUCAGCUGGGGAGCAUAAGGCAGGAAGGGAAGGGGAGGUGGGAAGAACCUGGGGGACAAAGGACCUUUGUUGCCCUUCCUCACUCAGGCACAGUCUGGGGAAGACUUUGGCCGCAGCUCACACUAGAAGGCUGUUUACCAGACCUGCUGGAGCCUCUGAAGGGCAGCAGCCAGCUCACACCACAUGCCCUGGAUGGCCAGAAGGCACAGGAGACCACAGAGCAUACGAGUGGGGCAAGAGGAAACCAUCUAUCAACAAACAGGGACCAGAGCAAAUGAAGUUCCAACGUCUUGCUCACGCUCCUGCAUGGCCAGGAGAUGAUAUCAGGCAAAGUAAAACCUGGGUCAUGAUGAUGGCAGCACUGGUGUCUGACACAGACUCUUCCAUGAAGGCAGGUCCUAAACUUGUUCUCACCCUCAGCCCCUCUGCAUAUAAUUCUCAGUUUUCCCAGAAAGCAUUUACCCUGUGCUUCAGAGAGACUAUUUUUCUAACAAAGACAUUUGCCACUUUCCAGUCCUUCUUUAGUCUCUCUAGGAGAUGCCCAGUGGUACGCACCCACGCCUCCAUCCCUGCCCCUGUCCUGCCACAUGGCUGCCUCUUCUAA
rnacentral:lncRNA from 1 species